rnacentral:rRNA from 1 species
UCGUACGUCGCGACUCUAAGGUGUAGAGAUAAUAGGGGUAAGGGAAAUCGGCAAGUUGUGUUCAUAAGUUAGUAGCGAUGAAGAACCAAUUAUAAAAUUUUUACUUAGGUAAUGUUGUUAAAGGGUGGCACAGAAUCGGAGGCCCUGACUGUUUAAUUAAAACACGGACAUUUGCAAGGAUUAAUUUGUUGGUAUAGGUGUUGAAUUUUGCCCGAUGCCAUUAAUGAAGGUUAAUAGGCGCUUUGGGGCUUUAUUUUCGAAAAAUCUGGUCAAGGGCGCUGUUAUCCUGAGGAUCCUAAGGUAGCAAAAUUAAUUGUCCGGUAAAUGUGGUCCCGCACGAAUAAAGUAACGAUGGUGUCACUGUCUCGGACAGGUAUCUCAGUGAAAAAGACAUAGCGAACGAGCCGAUUGCGCCUGCGUUCC